AACACUGGCCACUCUCCCCAUCCCCUGCCUCUCUCCCGUCGCUGCUCCCCCGCACACACACCCCGACGUCCUCCAUCCUCCCCGCCUGAUCGCGAUAGGAUGUCACAGGCGCACGUGCAGCGCCAUAGACUCGUCGUCGUUAUUAAUAGACCCGGUGGUUGGGAGCGGCGUUCCUCCAUACAUGCGCGCGCAUGUCUACAUUGCUCCAAAUGUCAUCGCUGUGAGCGCCGAUAAUAAUCGAUCCAUCAGUGCCCUCUUCCGUUAAUCAACAAAGGACUACUUUGUCGAGGCAUCAAUUGAUUUACGAGCAAAACGAUUUCCCAACCAUUUAGUUAAUUGACGAAUCGUUUAUUUGCAUAGUGAAUCAUUAUAAUAAACGCACUGUGUACAAAAGGCAGUCGGUUUGAGGACUGUUUUUUUUUCAAACUGCAUUGCCCAUUAACUCACAGCACCUUGAUUAAUUGUUUAAUAAGUAAACACUGCGGGCAUCGCGUCGUGUCCGUGAUUAACCCCUAAACAGAAGCGCGGUCGCGGGGUCUUGUUUACAUUUCGGCAAAAGCAACACCACGUAUGGCCACGUUAUGUGCUCCAAUGCUGAUGCAGAAACAUCGCAUUAGGUAAUAAUUUUAGGUUGAAUCGACCGAGGAGAGGCCCAUAAAUAGCACCAUUAGGCGCCAGGGGCAGAACAUUUCACAGCACCGUCGACAGCACCGUUUCAGGACCAAGAUCAGGACUGUUUCAGGACCACGGACAGAAACCAUGAUUCACUAUAAAAGGUAUCAAAUCAGUAUUAGGGACACCAUCGUUUCAACACUACACUAAUGUGAUCAUCCAGUACCAGGGACAGCGUCAUUCCAUAGCAGGGGCAGCAGGACCAUUUCAGGACCAAGGACAACAACAGAAUUCAGAACCAUGGACAGCACCAUGGACAUAAUUCGCAACGAUGGACUACAUUAUUCAGCAUCGGGAACAGGUAACAGAAGAAUACAUUCCGCUGGUGGAGUAUAGCCCACAGCCACUCGGUAAAAACUCGUGCAACAAUGAACCCGAGUUCCAAUGUCGUUAUAUGGCCGAUUAAAGUUAAUCAAUAUAUACUAACACUUUCAGUCCUGUUAGCGGUUAUAAAAUGUCACCCAUGGCCACAGUUAUUCUAAUUACUAUUUUUAAACCCUAACUCUUGAGACGUUAGGUUGUCCCGAUGUCUUAAGGAAUUUGUUUUGGCCCAUGGACUCGAAGCGUUAUCGACGAGUAAUGGUUGACAUGUUUGGUACAAAGGGCAUUUGGAUCAAACAGAUUUCUAAUUCAACCUGGUAGGUUUUAAAAGCACGCUAUUUACGAAUCCAAUUCAGCCAUGUAGUUUAUAAGCAGGAAUUAAAUAAUAAAUAUCUGUGGGAGAUCUUAUGGACCAAUGCAUAAGCUGUGCGUGUCUGUCUGACCAUACCCCAUAGAGUACAAAGCUUUUAACUUCCGGCUCACGCCACCGCUGUCGGAAAGACCUCCGCCCGAGGUAGCGCGAGAGAGCCACUCGAUCGGGCAUCUCGCCUGCUCUCCCACGCUGGCCGGACAUCCUGGAAGAGGCGGGAGCACCCACGCUUUACCCCACCGCACGCGACCCGCCCGAUCGACUGAGGAUCGCUUUCUGACGUGGGGGUGAUAACACCGUUCGCUGCAAGAGUUCCAAAUGGUCACGUGGAAUGAAGUUCGGAGCAGAGGUCCCCAUCUGGCCAACGCUGCGCCCUUGUCAGCAGGAUGAGGACCAUCACCAGCUCACCGCGGUGGAUGGAAUGGGGAGAGAAAGAGCCUCUGCCACCAUCAGCAAAUCGCGCAUAAUCACGCGGGCUGGAUGAGCGCGGCCCACCUGGCUUUGAGCUCGCGCGGCGCCUUUGGAACCAUCUCAAGAGGGUUCACAACGUGCGAUGAGGUUCUAUGUCACAAAGCCGACCAUUCCCGGGGGUAUCCGCGAUAGCCCACUGCAGCUGCUGUGGCGUGAAGGAGGGUGCUUGCACACGUGAUUAAAAGCUUCCAUUUCCAU